GACGAACGCUGGCGGCGUGCUUAACACAUGCAAGUCGAACGGAAAGGCCCUGCUUUUGUGGGGUGCUCGAGUGGCGAACGGGUGAGUAACACGUGAGUAACCUGCCCUUGACUUUGGGAUAACUUCAGGAAACUGGGGCUAAUACCGGAUAGGAGCUCCUGCUGCAUGGUGGGGGUUGGAAAGUUUCGGCGGUUGGGGAUGGACUCGCGGCUUAUCAGCUUGUUGGUGGGGUAGUGGCUUACCAAGGCUUUGACGGGUAGACGGCCUGAGAGGGUGACCGGCCACAUUGGGACUGAGAUAAGGCCCAGACGACUACGGGAGGCAGCAGUGGGGAAAAUUGCACAAUGGGCGGAAGCCUGAUGCAGCAACGCCGCGUGCGGGAUGACGGCCUUCGGGUUGUAAACCGCUUUCGCCUGUGACGAAGCGUGAGUGACGGUAAUGGGUAAAGAAGCACCGGCUAACUACGUG
rnacentral:rRNA from 1 species